UACGUAGGGGGCAAGCGUUGUCCGGAGUUACUGGGCGUAAAGCGCACGCAGGCGGUCCGCUAAGUUUGAGGUGACAGUGCUCGGCUUAACUGAGCAAGUGCCUCGAAAACUGACGGACUUGAGGGCUUCAGAGGGACACGGAAUUCCGGGUGGAGUGGUGAAAUGCGUAGAGAUCCGGAGGAACACCGAAGGCGAAGGCAGUGUCCUGGGGAGUACCUGACGCUCAGGUGCGAAAGCCAGGGGAGCGAACGGG
rnacentral:rRNA from 1 species